rnacentral:rRNA from 1 species
UGUUAGGUCAAGGUGCAGUUUUUAAAUGGUUAAUAUGGGUUACUUUUUUAUUAUGAAUGGAUAUAAUUUGAAAAUGUUUUGAAAUUGGAUUUAAAAGUAAAUUUUUUUUAGUAAUAAUGUGAAUAAAGAUUCUGAGAUAUGUACACAUUGCCCGUCACUCUUGCAUAAAGUAAGACAAGUCGUAACAUAGUAGGUGUACCGGAAGGUGUUCCUGGAAUUAAGUGAAUAGCUAAUAAUCUAAGUAUAUUUUUUACACUAAUAUGAUAUCAUUUUUGAUUUUACUUUUAAUUUAAUUUUUUAAAAGCAGUAAGUUUAUAAUUAUUUUAUUUUUAUUUGUGAAGGGGAGGUCACAUUUAAAUUUAUUAUAAAGUAUUAUUACUGUACCUUUUGUAUCAGGGUUAAUUUAAUUAAAUUAAAAAUUUAAUUUUCUCGAAAAUUGAAGAUUUAUAGUUAUUUUAUUUUAUUGUAGAAAAAUUAAGAAAAAAAUUACUUUGGGUUUGAUAAAAAUUUAGUUUUUUUAUAUCUAGUUACUUUAUGUUAUGAUUUAAUCAUUCAAAUAUUUGUAUUAAUUUAUAAAAUAUUAAUUAUGAUUGUGGGGAUAAUCUUGUAAUUAAUUUUAUAGUUAAAAACUUAUGUUUAUUUGGUAUGCUUAGAAUUAGCUAUUUUAAUAUGUAAAAAUUAUAUUAAUUGAAAUAAUAUUUUAUAAUAACUUUAUGGGGAGAUAAAGUUAUUAAAAUUAUUAAAUUAUUUCGAAAAAUAAUGAUUGAAUUAGUAGAAACAUAAAAUAAUAAUUAAGAAUUCGGCAAUUUGAAAUUUUCGUCUGUUUAUCAAAAACAUUUUUGGGAGAAAUAUAUUUUUGAUAUUGCCUGCUCUAU